UAAUACAGAGGGUGCGAGCGUUAAUCGGAAUUACUGGGCGUAAAGGGUCUGUAGGCGGAUUAUUAAGUCGGAUGUGAAAUCCCUGGGCUUAACCUAGGAACUGCAUUCGAUACUGGUAGUCUAGAGUGUGCAAGAGGAUGGGGGAAUUCCUGGUGUAGCAGUGAAAUGCGUAGAGAUCAGGAGGAACACCGAUGGCGAAGGCACCUGUCUGGGGCAACACUGACGCUGAGAGACGAAAGCGUGGGGAGCAAACAGGAUUAGAUACCCUGGUAGUCCACGCCCUAAACGAUGUCAACUAGCUGUUCGGAGUCACUAAGAUUCUGAGUAGUGAAGCUAACGCGAUAAGUUGACCGCCUGGGGAGUACGGCCGCAAGGUUG
rnacentral:rRNA from 1 species